rnacentral:rRNA from 1 species
UACGUAGGGGGCAAGUGUUGUCCGGAUUUAUUGGGCGUAAAGAGCUCGUAGGUGGUUCGGUAAGUCGGAUGUGAAAUCUCCAGGCUCAACCUGGAGGGGUCAUUCGAUACUGCCGUGACUAGAGGUCGGUAGGGGAGUGUGGAAUUCCUGGUGGAGCGGUGAAAUGCGCAGAUAUCAGGAGGAACACCCGUAGCGAAGGCGGCACUCUGGGCCGAUACUGACACUGAGGAGCGAAAGCGUGGGGAGCGAACAGG